rnacentral:rRNA from 1 species
GUCCUUUAGAUAAUAUAAUUUAAGGUCUGACCUGCCCACUGAGAAAUUUAAAGGCCGCAGUAAUUUGACUGUGCAAAGGUAGCAUAAUCAUUAGUUUUUUAAUUAAAAGCUUGUAUGAAUGGUUGGACGAGAUAAAAUCUGUCUCUAGUUAAUAAAUAGAAUUUAAUUUUUAAGUUAAAAAGCUUAAAUUAAUAUAAAAGACGAGAAGACCCUAUAGAUCUUAAUAUAAUAUUUUAAAAUUUUAUUAAAGGUUAUUUUAUUAGUUUUAUUUUUUUAUAUUUUAUUGGGGUAAUAAAAAGAUUAAAUUAAUUCUUUUUUAUAUUUAACAAUAAUAAUUGAUUAUUUGAUCCAUUAAUAGUGAUUAUAAGAUUAAGUUACCUUAGGGAUAACAGCGUAAUUUUUUUAGAGAGUUCAUAUCGAUAAUAAAGUUUGCGACCUCGAUGUUGGAUUAAAAAUUAUUUUGGGUGUAGAAGUUCAAAAUUUUGGUCUGUUCGACCAUUAAAUUUUUACAUGAUCUGAGUUCAGACCGGCGUAAGCCAGGUCGGUUUCUAUCUUUAUUAAAUUAAUAUAUUUUAGUACGAAAGGACCAGAUAUUUAAUAUAUUUAUAUUUUUAUUUUGAUUAA